rnacentral:rRNA from 1 species
AGCGGCGGACGGGUGAGUAAUACUUAGGAAUCUGCCUAUUAAUGGGGGACAACAUCUCGAAAGGGAUGCUAAUACCGCAUACGCCCUACGGGGGAAAGCAGGGGAUCACUUGUGACCUUGCGUUAAUAGAUGAGCCUAAGUCGGAUUAGCUAGUUGGUGGGGUAAAGGCCUACCAAGGCGACGAUCUGUAGCGGGUCUGAGAGGAUGAUCCGCCACACUGGGACUGAGACACGGCCCAGACUCCUACGGGAGGCAGCAGUGGGGAAUAUUGGACAAUGGGGGGAACCCUGAUCCAGCCAUGCCGCGUGUGUGAAGAAGGCCUUAUGGUUGUAAAGCACUUUAAGCGAGGAGGAGGCUCUUUUGGUUAAUACCCAAGAUGAGUGGACGUUACUCGCAGAAUAAGCACCGGCUAACUCUGUGCCAGCAGCCGCGGUAAUACAGAGGGUGCGAGCGUUAAUCGGAUUUACUGGGCGUAAAGCGUGCGUAGGCGGCUUUUUAAGUCGGAUGUGAAAUCCCCGAGCUUAACUUGGGAAUUGCAUUCGAUACUGGGAAGCUAGAGUAUGGGAGAGGAUGGUAGAAUUCCAGGUGUAGCGGUGAAAUGCGUAGAGAUCUGGAGGAAUAUUGAUGGCGAAGGCAGCCAUCUGGCCUAAUACUGACGCUGAGGUACGAAAGCAUGGGGAGCAAACAGGAUUAGAUACCCUGGUAGUCCAUGCCGUAAACGAUGUCUACUAGC